AACGAACGCUGGCGGCAUGCCUAACACAUGCAAGUCGAACGAGACCUUCGGGUCUAGUGGCGCACGGGUGCGUAACGCGUGGGAACCUGCCCUUAGGUUCGGCAUAACUCCCCGAAAGGGGUGCUAAUACCGGAUAAUGUCUUCGGACCAAAGAUUUAUCGCCUUUGGAUGGGCCCGCGUUGGAUUAGCUAGUUGGUAGGGUAAAAGCCUACCAAGGCGACGAUCCAUAGCUGGUCUGAGAGGAUGAUCAGCCACACUGGGACUGAGACACGGCCCAGACUCCUACGGGAGGCAGCAGUGGGGAAUAUUGGACAAGGGGCGAAAGCCUGAUCCAGCAGUGACGCGUGAGUGAUGAAGGCCUUAGGGUUGUAAAGCUCUCUUACCCGGGAUGAUAAUGACAGUACCGGGAGAAUAAGCCCCGGCUAACUCCGUG
rnacentral:rRNA from 1 species